GUCACAAGAACAAGCAGAAGGACGCCUCUUUCCAUCUCUUCUUCGCUCGGGCAAUGGAAGGGGAAGCCGCUUCUCGACCUCCGAGGCCGUUCAUGGGGGUGAAGGCCCGCCGCGGAGCCUCCUUCCGCCGGGACGUCAAGGGUGAUUACCUCGACGUCCCCUCCGACCCCUUCCUCUCCGCCAUCUUGUCCAAGCAAGGAGAUGAGACACUUCUAUUUGCUGACAAGGUCUUGAAGUGUACAGGCACUGGAAAGAUGAAGCGGUGUAUAUUAAUGAUUACGGGUUCUGCUAUCUAUCUUGUUGAUCCAGAUGCUGAUGUAUUGAAACGACGAAUUAUGCUUGCAUCUAUCGAUAAGAUAUGUUUGAGCAAGCUGAGUGAUAACUUCUUUGCGGUCAUUGUUCCAAGUGAAUAUGAUUGUCUUAUGGCCAGCACCAGGAAAACAGAAAUUGUUACUGUCCUCGUUGAAGCUUCCAAAAUCAGAUCAGAAUAUGAGAUUGGAGUGGUUUUCUCCAAUAGGCUGUGAAGUCAAGCGAAAAGAUCAUUGUUUACCAAGUGUUCUACUUUAUCACAGAGCUCAUAUUAGAUAUUCUUUGAAGAUUCAGGUUCGAGUAUCGUGCUGCUGCUGACAUGGUGAAGGAAGUUCGGUUUGCGGAAGUAGACGGGGGCAUUAAAACAAGGAUCGUGAAGAAAUAUCGUUGACAUUUGAGUUUGACUAGCACCCUGAAAGCGGCCUUGUACUAGAUUAGACUUGUCUUGUGUGCCUUUAUGCAAUUUCACAUGUUGCCGUAAAGGCUGUAAUCAAGUUAACUCGGUUUAAAUUGUUGCAGAUGCUUCCUCGA